CAAAAAAUAGCAGCAUUUCAAAAGAUUGUAUAAGACGGUAGAAGAUGCAGCGUAUAUGCCUUGAAAUAUGAAAAACCUACGAUACAUUGCAAAGGAUUGUGAAGAACACUCACAAGUGGAGUGGGGAUGCCUAGAAGGAGGAGCCUUCUCCCAGAUGACCCCAGACAGCUUGGUUUGGUGCCCCCUGCACCAGCCACAUCAGUCAGAAGAGGUCUAGGACAGUUAUUCCAACCAGCAUCUGAUGUGGAAGGACCCCCAUAGGCGAUCACAUUGCAUGUUUCCUGGUACUUGUCAGGCAGCAUCACAAGGGAAAAAACUUCAGUUCACUGACAAA